AUGAACGCUGGCGGCGUGCCUAAUACAUGCCAGUCGAGAGAACAGAUGAGGAGCUUGCUCCUCUGACGUUAGCGGCGGACGGGUGAGUAACACGUGGAUAACCUACCUAUAAGACUGGGAUAACUUCGGGAAACCGGAGCUAAUACCGGAUAAUAUAUUGAACCGCAUGGUUCAAUAGUGAAAGACGGUUUUGCUGUCACUUAUAGAUGGAUCCGCGCCGCAUUAGCUAGUUGGUAGGUAACGGCUUACCAAGGCAACGAUGCGUAGCCGACCUGAGAGGGUGAUCGGCCACACUGGAACUGAGACACGGUCCAGACUCCUACGGGAGGCAGCAGUAGGGAAUCUUCCGCAAUGGGCGAAAGCCUGACGGAGCAACGCCGCGUGAGUGAUGAAGGUCUUCGGAUCGUAAAACUCUGUUAUUAGGGAAGAACAAAUGUGUAAGUAACUAUGCACGUCUUGACGGUACCUAAUCAGAAAGCCACGGCUAACUACGUG
rnacentral:rRNA from 1 species